rnacentral:rRNA from 1 species
GAUGAACGCUGGCGGCGUGCCUAAUACAUGCAAGUCGAGCGAACGGACGAGAAGCUUGCUUCUCUGAUGUUAGCGGCGGACGGGUGAGUAACACGUGGAUAACCUACCUAUAAGACUGGGAUAACUUCGGGAAACCGGAGCUAAUACCGGAUAAUAUUUUGAACCGCAUGGUUCAAAAGUGAAAGACGGUCUUGCUGUCACUUAUAGAUGGAUCCGCGCUGCAUUAGCUAGUUGGUAAGGUAACGGCUUACCAAGGCAACGAUGCAUAGCCGACCUGAGAGGGUGAUCGGCCACACUGGAACUGAGACACGGUCCAGACUCCUACGGGAGGCAGCAGUAGGGAAUCUUCCGCAAUGGGCGAAAGCCUGACGGAGCAACGCCGCGUGAGUGAUGAAGGUCUUCGGAUCGUAAAACUCUGUUAUUAGGGAAGAACAUAUGUGUAAGUAACUGUGCACAUCUUGGCGGUACCUAAUCAGAAAGCCACGGCUAACUACGUGCCAGCAGCCGCGGUAAUACGUAGGUGGCAAGCGUUAUCCGGAAUUAUUGGGCGUAAAGCGCGCGUAGGCGGUUUUUUAAGUCUGAUGUGAAAGCCCACGGCUCAACCGUGGAGGGUCAUUGGAAACUGGAAAACUUGAGUGCAGAAGAGGAAAGUGGAAUUCCAUGUGUAGCGGUGAAAUGCGCAGAGAUAUGGAGGAACACCAGUGGCGAAGGCGACUUUCUGGUCUGUAACUGACGCUGAUGUGCGAAAGCGUGGGGAUCAAACAGGAUUAGAUACCCUGGUAGUCCACGCCGUAAACGAUGAGUGCUAAGUGUUAGGGGGUUUCCGCCCCUUAGUGCUGCAGCUAACGCAUUAAGCACUCCGCCUGGGGAGUACGACCGCAAGGUUGAAACUCAAAGGAAUUGACGGGGACCCGCACAAGCGGUGGAGCAUGUGGUUUAAUUCGAAGCAACGCGAAGAACCUUACCAAAUCUUGACAUCCUUUGACAACUCUAGAGAUAGAGCUUUCCCCUUCGGGGGACAAAGUGACAGGUGGUGCAUGGUUGUCGUCAGCUCGUGUCGUGAGAUGUUGGGUUAAGUCCCGCAACGAGCGCAACCCUUAAGCUUAGUUGCCAUCAUUAAGUUGGGCACUCUAAGUUGACUGCCGGUGACAAACCGGAGGAAGGUGGGGAUGACGUCAAAUCAUCAUGCCCCUUAUGAUUUGGGCUACACACGUGCUACAAUGGACAAUACAAAGGGCAGCGAAACCGUGAGGUCAAGCAAAUCCCAUAAAGUUGUUCUCAGUUCGGAUUGUAGUCUGCAACUCGACUACAUGAAGCUGGAAUCGCUAGUAAUCGUAGAUCAGCAUGCUACGGUGAAUACGUUCCCGGGUCU